rnacentral:lncRNA from 1 species
UUUUUUUAAAAUUUUUAUUCUUAGAAUUUUUGAAUCUCUCUUCAAAUUUUUUUUUUUUUUUAUCGUUUUAGAAUUUUAGAAUUUUAUUUUUGAAUUUGAUUUUUCUUGAAUUUCAAAAUUAUAAUUUUUUAUAAUUUUAUAUUUUUCCUUUUUCAAAAUUUCAUUUUUAAAUAAUGUUUUAUUUAAACGCUUAUAUUUUCAUGUUUUUGACAUUUUUAUUGUAAACACUCAAAUCAUCAAAAAUAUGUUUUAUAUUAUAACUUAUAAACUUAAACUUUAAAAAAAAAAAAAAACUACGUAAAGGACAAAAAACCUGGACCAAACAAAAUUUGAGUGUUUUCGUAAAAUUCAAAACUGAACUAGUGUUUAGCAAAAUUAGCAGGCAUACAGUGACUACACACGAGCAAGCUCAAUUUGUAGCCUCUCCCCCUCCUGUAACAAUUGUUGAUUCCCAUGUGGGACUAGUGCUCCCAACAAUUGGGAGGGAAAUGAAAUCAACUCCAUUAAAAAGGUUGGAACACUCUGCUAUAAUUUAUAUGAAUUUAUAAAAUUAAUAUACCUAUAAAAUAAGUAUAAUUUUGAAUUUUACAUAAUGUUAUAAAUAUCUUGUAUUUAUUUAUUUAUUUAAUAAUUUCAUCGAUUCAAUUCGAUUCGACCUAGGGAUGUCAAUUCGACUCAAACGUAUCGUAACUAGACCAGUAAAAAGUCCAAGCCAACUUGGGCUGACCCUCAUUUUAUGACAACGAUUCGAACUUGAGCUACCCUGUGUCAUAGGCUCGUUCAGUCAUAGAAAAAGAUUUACAUAGCAUAUUCAAUUUUUCUUUUUUUUUUGUUGUUAACAACUACGUGUAAUAUACCAAAUCAGUAUUCGAUGCUAACUAAAACUAAGAAUAGAGAAAACACUGCAAAAAUGCACAUACCUUGCAAUGUUAGUGUAAUAUACCAAAUCAGUAUUCGAUGCUAACUAAAACUAAGAACAGAGAAAACACUGAAAAAAGGCAUAUACCUUGCAAUGUUAAAAAUUGAAACAUAAUUUAACAUAAUAUACGAGUAUAUUAACUAUUUGAUGUUUAAACUGCAUUGUAGAUCAACAAGAAGCAACGGCCCAAAUGUUUUUCAUAAAAAGAAAGGAAUAAAUUUUAGUGAAAUAUAACUAUUUUCCGGUGCUUGGUCCACUAAAAAUAUAAUAAUUAGCUUAGAGAUAUUUUGUCCCUUUUGUUCAAUAAUUGCAUUGAUACUUCAUGGAAAAAGAUGCAAGUACAGGGCUGUCAAGUGAGAGCGGAGGUGGGGGCCAACUUUUUUUAAUGUGUGUGGGGUCCAACUCCUACAGUGAGGCCCUUGUGAACCGACCUCCUAUACGUGGAGCUCGGUCCUUCAGGAAAACUUUCCAACCUCCUCCUGACAUGACAGGCCCUUC